CUAGAGGCAGUGACUAAGCAACAGGAUCUGCAAGCCAAUCGCCUCCCGAUCCGAACUUCCCGCUCAUAUUCAAAGUAUCAUUGCCACAUUGGUCAACGGCAGCAAAGAUCGCAUCGAAUUGUUCCGGCCCUGGGCUCUGCUACUUUGAGUUUGAGCUUUGAACUACUAGUAUUUGGUCAACACGCUGCGCCAACAACACACAUAACAGGGUUUUUCUUUGUUGCACUUGCAGCCUGCUAAAGUCGCUACAACACUCUGGCUCACCUGCCGUAAUAGGCAACAGCACUAGGCUCUAGCAGUAGCGUCCAAGUAGCUUGUUGAUGCCGAUCAGGUGAGCUUCGAUCUCUGGAUUGUGUCUUGUGCUCUCCGACUUCAACUUGAACCUCACCGUCACGCUCGCUCACCGAGUUAGCCAGUUCUGCGAAUCAUUCAUUGUAGAACCAGGCGGCUACAGGCGGAUCAGACCAGUGGUAACAGUUCAACUGGGUAGCGAUCAGGCCGGUCGAAGUGCAGCCGUUUAUCCAUUUGCCGUGCUUGCACAAGAGAACACGAGCUAAAGGACAAUGGCACCGGGAAGGGGUCGUGGCGGUUCAUCCGCAGUUGCAGCAGCUGUUGCCCGCCGGGGACACCUGACAGUGGCGUCAGCCGCGGCAGUAGUGUCAAGAGGUGGUGGUCGAGGUAGAGGAGCUUCCGCAGCGGCCGUGGCUGGGAUCUCACGAGGCGGCGGUCGAGGAGGCCAGAAAGCCGGUGCUUCCGCGGCGGCCAUGGCUGGGCACUCGGCACCUAAGCCUAAGGGCCAGGCGAACGCCAAAAAAACGGCUCCAGCGAAGAGCCCUGGCAGAAGUGUGAGCAAAUAUGCCAGUACUGCUAGUGCCGCCGCGGCCCAGCAGACUACAGUCGUAAAGAAAGUUACCACAACGACAACGACCACUGAGUAUGUAUCAAAGUCGAGCAGCAACGCUAAAGCUACAGCAUCCAGCAAGUGAAGAAGAAGUGAACAACGGACAGGACUCAGGACAGGAGCCAGUCCAGGCAGAGGCGGAUGACUGCAGUGCGGAACAGUGCUAAACUUACUUUCACCUAGCUACAGCCUACAGGUGUGUGUAUGUGAGUGGUACUGAGUGUAAAAUGACUUAUGACUGUAUGUACAUGUAUAAGUAUAACCCAUAUAAUUGGCCAUAACCAUUCAGGUCGUAGGAGCAUCAUGUGUGUCAUAAAGGCAGCAGCAUAAAAAAAAAAUAAAUAAAAAACCUAUGUACAUGUAGGAUGUGUAUCAUCAUUGUGUUUUGUUUGUUUGUUUGUUUGUUUUUAACUUUGGCCAGUACAUGUAUGACUACUACAGUAUUCUCUUCGUCUUGGGCCAGUUGGGGGUUAGACAUGGGGAAGUUGCCAUAAUAUAGCCUGUAUGAUACAGGGCCAAACAUGGGUGGUGAGCCCGCCUUUCGGCACAGGGAAUACAGCUCGUUCGACUCUGUCACAUUGCGUAUGACUGUAGCGUGCACUGAAGUAAUGAUGAUGUACUUUACAGUGCAUGACAUUGUACUACACACCGAAGCCUUGCUUGGUAGUUUAACAUAAUUUGUUUUUCGAUUUUGACAGCAUGUUACAAGGCGAGGACGCGUAGUGCUCCUGACUACAACCAUAACCCGGCCCAGGGUUUUCCCAAUACGGUUCAACAAGUCGCAAGACCGGGACUCUGCCAACCGGGUUAUGGUUGUAGUCAGGAGCACUACGCGUCCUCGCCUUGUAACAUGCUGUCAAAAUCGAAAAACAUGACAUUGUACUGUAAUUAUGACAUUGCACUGACGUGGUGAUUUUUUUCUCUUUUUCUCAUUUUAGUUUUAUUACCAUAGCACCCAUUUUGUUAAUCCAGGGGAUGGCUCACGCCUGGCAUGAAGAAAAGAAAGAUUGAGAAUAGAAUGAAAAAUGGAAACAAUGUAAAUGAAAAGCCUACAAUUCCUAACGUGGUGACUGACGUGGUAAUAGCACAGUCACUGUACUGCUUUGACUGCUUUCUCUUAUACCGGUACGUCGUCUUAACCAUUACCAAUAAUAUUAUCAUCACC